rnacentral:tRNA from 1 species
AGAAAAUUAGUUUAUAGAAAAACACUUGCUUGUCAAGCAAGAAUAAUUAUACCAAUAUUUUCUA